AGAAAUUUCUCAUAUAUUAAAUCAACUUGGUUGCAUUACAAAGUACACCAUACAAAGAUUACAAGAUGUGAAACUAGUAGUAAUCCCAUUCUUGACCUUGCAACCUACGUGUCAGCCAUUCUGAAACAUAAUGAUCUAACAUUGACACCAAAAAUAUCAGAUACAUAAUGAUUGAAACAUUGGCACUGGAAAUGGCAUUCUAAGACACAAUGUGAAACUAUCUAGUAGCACCCCUAUUCUUGACCUUGCAACCAACAUCUGAGACAUGCACCAUCGAAUAUUGGAAUCUAUCUACAAAACAAAGAAAUGAAAUAGGUUAAUAGGGCAGAAAAAUUGAAAGGAGCAGCAACAUAGAAAGGUUGAAGGCAAUGUGAUAAUUAAUCUUGCUGCAUGACUAAUAAAUUUGACCUUUUUUGUAGUUGUAAAAACUUAUAAGAUUUAGCUUUAUAUUCGGGGUUAAUCCUUUGGAUUGAAGUAAAAGCAGCGAUCUUGUUCGGAAUUGUCCAGUAUCACAUUUGUAGCUAACAAUGGUCAUUUUAACUCACAGUAAACUAACUCAGUUAAUUUCAUUUUUAAGUUUCCCCAUGUUAAUAGAAACAGAGUGAUUUAUAGGGGUGGGGGAAUGUAAGGCAGGCAUACAGUAGUUGAUGAAUUGUUUUACCUAAUCUAGUCGCAAAGAUUCUUAUCUCACAGAAGCAGUACGACCAUUUUUACAUGCAAGAAAAGUGUUCUCUUGUACUAAUUAUGUGAAAAAAAGAGAAACAUGUCCAAAAUAAUAAAAUAUAGUAAUGCUAUUAAUACUCCAAAAUUUCCAUUAAAACUGGUGAAGAAUCAUUCGCUCAAUAUGGAACUACCAUCAGAAAAUACCUCCUAGUAAAUCCAGCUUGGCACUAGUAGUCUUCUAUGUUUUAGCGCCAACAACAUCGACUUGGAACAAUCGAGUCUCUGUAGCCUGCUAAUUUGGCAUGUGCAUUAGUAAUGUAUGUUCGCUUUUGCCCACAGAAUCGAACAUCAAAAUAGCUGAAUACAUGUGCACGAAGUCCUUUAGCGUACUCUUUCUUAUCUUAUUUUAUACCAAAACUCUUACAUGACCUUGUUCUUAUAUGGAAAAACUCUUGCACGACCUGGUUCCACGAUAUGACAUGCUAGAUGGCCGAAACAAUCUAAACCUACUCCUACUUAUAGCAUCUAAAACGACACAGACUCCAGCGCCCUUUCCUACACUAGUAAGGCAUGCUAACUCCAAGACAUAGUAGUACAACAUGUAGGCAGCUAGCUAUGCAAACUCAUUGAACCAUAUAUGGAUUAGUACGACCCACCCAAGUACACAAAUUCUUAUGACAUGCAAGCCAGACUUGUUGGAAAACUAACUAAUCAAUCUAACCAAAUUAGACUCAAACUUGGCUAGUUAAACUAGCACGGACUCCUACUAAACUACUUGAAAUUAUUCUAACAAUUUAGAAGACCACAACAUUCAUGCAGACUAAGUAGUGCCAGCGUAUUAGUAUAUGCCAACAUUUAAUAAAUAGGAUUGGCUUUCUUAGUUACUUGUUUACCGAGAACGUGGAAACUUAGAGCAGUUCCAGUACGCUCAUCUUUGUCACCAUGGUUGCUGGAUGCUGAAACUGUUGGCCGAAUAGGUAGAGGAGAAGGCCCUGAGUAUUACAGAGAAGAGGGGAUCCUAGUAAGAUCCAAUAGUUUCGGAUCAGUGAAUUCGACGUACCUGACACACUCGCACAGUCGUCGCAUCUGAUCGCUUAGCUGUCUGUUUAUGGUUGUUAGUAUCAUCCAACCACCGUAGUGUGCCCUGUAUGUCAGGGAAGGAGAGUGCACAAGAGGAAUAUUUUUAAUGUUUACGUUCUUGGAUGAACCAAGUACAUGCUCAUUGUGUUCUUGGAUGAACCAAGUACAUGCUCAUUGUGUUAACAGUUUAAGAAGAAUAUAGUACAAACAUGAGAAGAUGUGAGAGGCAC
rnacentral:lncRNA from 1 species